UACGUAGGGGCGAGCGUUGUCCGGAAUCAUUGGGCGUAAAGAGCGUGUAGGCGGGCCGGAAGGUCUGGUGUGAAAGCCCGGGGCUCAACCCCGGAGGGUCACCGGAAACCGACGGCCUUGAGUCCGGAAGAGGAGAGUGGAAUUCCUGGUGUAGCGGUGGAAUGCGCAGAUAUCAGGAGGAACACCAAUGGCGAAGGCAGCUCUCUGGUACGUGACUGACGCUGAGACGCGAAAGCGUGGGUAGCAAACAGG
rnacentral:rRNA from 1 species